UACGGAGGAUCCGAGCGUUAUCCGGAUUUAUUGGGCUUAAAGGGUGCGUAGGCGGCCUGUUAAGUCAGGGGUGAAAGACGGUAGCUCAACUAUCGCAGUGCCCUUGAUACUGAUGGGCUUGAAUAUACUAGAGGUAGGCGGAAUGUGACAAGUAGCGGUGAAAUGCAUAGAUAUGUCACAGAACACCAAUUGCGAAGGCAGCUUACUAUGGUAUGAUUGACGCUGAGGCACGAAAGCGUGGGGAGCAAACAGG
rnacentral:rRNA from 1 species